ensembl:lncRNA
GGAAGUUCUCAGUUCCUGUUUUAAUCCCCAAGUUCCUUUGAGUUCGGCCUUGGGUCCUUUAGCUUGUUGGAGGAGAUCCUCACAGGGCAGGAGUGGGCCAGGUUUCUAAAUCCAUCACAAGUAGACACCUUAGCCAAUCAAACACCAGCUGAAGAGGUCACCAAUCAAUUAGAGGCCAGCCAGAGACGGCCACAAGAUCAUGAGAGCGGCCGAUCAACUAUGACCUUGGACAGAGUCAGACAAUCAGGAAAUGUGAACAGUCAGUGGGACUUCAGACAAAGUGAAUUGGACCUAAGUUAUGAUAGAAGCGCUGAUGUUUCUUCAUCUGUCAAUAUGAAUAUCACAGAACCAAGCCUUGUCCAAGAACAGAACAGUAAAUGUGAACUCAUCCAAUCGGCACCAAAGGAAUAUGGUCAUGUCCAAUCACAAACCAGUUCUGAUGAAGUGAGGCCAAAUCAUAUACCUGUGUUAGAGUUCUCGUUCAUUAAGCCAGUGGAGGUCUUGGAUAGCUCUGCCCUGAAGAGCAGGGUCCACAUGAACAGAAAAAGAGAGCACCGGUCACAGGAGAGGAAAGAAGAGAGAGAAUGUUUAAAAGGAGAGGGGGGAGAGAGAUUAGAAGACAACUCAGUCCCAUCUGAUGAGGAAGAGAGGGAAGAGGGGGACAACUUUAUGAUGCCUGUCUACCCCCUGAAAUCCUCCCUUUCCCCUCUCCCUCCAUCCUCCCCCUCUUCCACCUCACAUCCCCUUGUCACCCGAAGUAUACUGCAACACUCAGUGUUUCAAGAUUCAGAGUCCUCACUAUCAAUGGAAACAGUGACCAAAAAG